AUUUUAGAAAAAAUUUUAAGUGAUUGUCAAAAAUUUUUAUUUUUGAAGGAAAGUCCGGGCUCCACUUUAUUUUUAUUAGCUGGUUAAUACCCAGAGCAAUUUGUAAGGAAAGUGCCACAGAAAAAAACAGAACCAAUGGUUCGAUUCGUUGCAAAGAUUUUCAUUUUGUAAAAUCGCCUAAAAAGAAAUUUUUAGAUAUUGGUAAACCCCUAUUUGGAGCAAGAGCAUAAUCUCGCUAGAAAAAUUUGGUAACAAAUUUUCAAGAUAAAUAAUCACACAACUUUCGUUUAUUUCGCAGUUGACAAAACCCGGCUUACAUCAUUUUUCUAAAAU
rnacentral:RNase_P_RNA from 1 species